CUUGGGCUGAGCCAACCAGAAUUCGUGAUUCCUUUGCCUCCCAGGGCCGGUGGUGUGCAGACAGGGCCGGGGCUGGUGGGGUUUGGGAGGGGUCAGAGAUUGAGGCGCUGGUCGCUGUGCCCCGUUCUGGCCUGGAGCAAGAUGUAUUGCAGGCGGGAGUGAUGAAUUCCGCUUUUAAGGUCCCCAGAAGUUGAGAAGCUCUGGAUUGGAGUGCAUCUGAUAGAAGUUGUCACAAAAAAAAUAGUUCUUUCUCCUGUGGAGCACAACAGUCUGAUGCCGGAAGAAAACGAAGAAGUAGAUAAGUCAAAAUAAACAGGCCUUCAUCAAGAGCCGCUAAGGUAUUUCUCUUCUCCGUCACUGACGUGCGAUACCGCAACUAUUACACCCGACAAACUGCAAAACGCAGAAUCUAGGAUUCUUGAAGCUACUGUCAGGUACUCCUCUAAUUGUAUGUCUUUGGAUUUAAUUGAAGUUAAACUCGUUACUGCCUUUACCAACCACACUCGGCUGUAAAGUGAUAUAUUUUAGCUUCAGAAUAUUCCAUGCUUUCUACCCCACCUCCCUACACUCAUAAAUAAACCUACACGUAAGCAUGCAAUCUCUCAAAGUUUUUUCUACCAAACGGAGCCAAAAAAUCCCUAGGCUGGAAAAAUAUAUAUUAUGUAUGAUCAAGUAUUUAUCACAAAUAAAGGAAUUUAUCCUAAAACUCUAAAA